UACGUAGGGUGCGAGCGUUGUCCGGAAUUAUUGGGCGUAAAGAGCUCGUAGGCGGCCUGUUGCGCCUGCUGUGAAAGCCCGGGGCUCAACCCCGGGUCUGCAGUGGAUACGGGCAGGCUAGAGUCCGGCAGGGGAGACUGGAAUUCCUGGUGUAGCGGUGAAAUGCGCAGAUAUCAGGAGGAACACCGGUGGCGAAGGCGGAUCUCUGGGCCAUUACUGACGCUGAGGAGCGAAAGCGUGGGGAGCGAACAGG
rnacentral:rRNA from 1 species